rnacentral:rRNA from 1 species
AAUGGGCGCAAGCCUGAUCCAGCCAUGCCGCGUGAGUGAUGAAGGCCCUAGGGUCGUAAAGCUCUUUCGCCAGGGAUGAUAAUGACAGUGCCAGGUAAAGAAACCCCGGCUAACUCCGUGCCAGCAGCCGCGGUAAUACGGAGGGGGUUAGCGUUGUUCGGAAUUACUGGGCGUAAAGCGCACGUAGGCGGAUCGGAAAGUUGGGGGUGAAAUCCCGGGGCUCAACCCCGGAACUGCCUCCAAAACUAUCAGUCUAGAGUUCGAGAGAGGUGAGUGGAAUUCCGAGUGUAGAGGUGAAAUUCGUAGAUAUUCGGAGGAACACCAGUGGCGAAGGCGGCUCACUGGCUCGAUACUGACGCUGAGGUGCGAAAGUGUGGGGAGCAAACAGGAUU